GGCGGAAUAGUUUAGUGGUAGAACAGCGGAAUCAUAAUUCGUAUGUGUGGGUUCAAUUCCCUCUUUCGCUA
rnacentral:tRNA from 1 species